rnacentral:misc_RNA from 1 species
AACGCACAUUGCGCCCCCUGGCAUUCCGGGGGGCAUGCCCGUUCGAGCGUCAUUCAACCCCUCCAGCCUCGCUGGGUCUUGGGCGCCGGGGUCGACCCCCGCGCCCCCAAUCCGCCGGCCGCGCAGCCGCGUCGGAGCGUCGUGCACCCCACUCGCUCCGACGGCCGGGCGCCGCGGCCGUGAAGCCCCCCCUCACAGGUUGACCUCGGAUCGGGCAGGGAUACCCGCUGAACUUAA